rnacentral:snRNA from 1 species
GUGCUCGCUCCAGCAGCACAUAUAUUAAAAUUAGAGUUAUACAGAGAAGAUCAGCAUGGGCCCUGUGCAAGGAUGACACACAAACUCGUGAGAUGUUUCUUAGUUUU